GGCGAGAUGGCCGAACGGUCCAAGGCGCUGGUUUAAGGCAGCAGUCCCGUCGGGGGCUUGGGUUCGAAUCCCACUCUCGUCA
rnacentral:tRNA from 1 species